rnacentral:rRNA from 1 species
UACGAAGGGGGGCUAGCGUUGCUCGGAAUCACUGGGCGUAAAGGGUGCGUAGGCGGGUCUUUUAAGUCAGGGGUGAAAUCCUGGAGCUCAACUCCAGAACUGCCUUUGAUACUGAAGAUCUUGAGUUCGGGAGAGGUGAGUGGAACUGCGAGUGUAGAGGUGAAAAUUCGUAGAUAUUCGCAAGAACACCAGUGGCGAAGGCGGCUCACUGGCCCGAUACUGACGCUGAGGUGCGAAAAGCGUGGGGAGCAAACAGGG